AUUGAACGCUGGCGGCAUGCCUAACACAUGCAAGUCGAACGGCAGCACAGAGGAGCUUGCUCCUUGGGUGGCGAGUGGCGGACGGGUGAGGAAUACAUCGGAAUCUACUCUGUCGUGGGGGAUAACGUAGGGAAACUUACGCUAAUACCGCAUACGACCUACGGGUGAAAGCAGGGGACCUUCGGGCCUUGCGCGAUUGAAUGAGCCGAUGUCGGAUUAGCUAGUUGGCGGGGUAAAGGCCCACCAAGGCGACGAUCCGUAGCUGGUCUGGGAGGAUGAUCAGCCACGCUGGAACUGAGACACGGUUCAGACUCCUACGGGAGGCAGCAGUGGGGAAUAUUGGACAAUGGGCGCAAGCCUGAUCCAGCCAUACCGCGUGGGUGAAGAAGGCCUUCGGGUUGUAAAGCCCUUUUGUUGGGAAAGAAAUCCAGCUGGCUAAUACCCGGUUGGGAUGACGGUACCCAAAGAAUAAGCACCGGCUAACUUCGUGCCAGCAGCCGCCGUAA
rnacentral:rRNA from 1 species